CUUUUUGCUCACCCCACCUGGUACUCCAUGUCGUAGCUGGGCAGGAUGAUCCGCCCGUGCUUCCACUCGCCGCCCUGGUCCUCGCGGAUGACCCACAGCAGCUUGCUCUCCUGGCUGGCUUCCCGCACCACCUGCAGCGCCACCCCGCGGCCGCCUGUGGCCUGGGACGGUGAAUAUCCUGGACUUGUCAGGGUAGAUGGGCUAGGAUUCUAGAGCCUAGAAUCAAUGCAACACUCCCUGGACCGCUGCUUUGCUGUUGUUAAUCCUGCUGACCUCACCUUUGUAGCAUUUACUGACUGUACUGCUGAUUUUACCUUGUUUUUAAAAGGACUUCAGGCUAUUUUCCAUGGAUUUCAGAAGUUAUCCAGUGACGGAGAAUGAGACAGCUAUAAAGAUACCAGCCACUGAACAUUCCAUCAAGGGAUCCCAGAAAAGACACAUCCCUCCAUUACUUGCUUCUUGGUUCAUACCAAAACCAGGGAACUAAAGUAUCAGCAAGGGCCCCUGGAGGUUGCUCUCAUGUGAAUGU
rnacentral:antisense_RNA from 1 species